AGAGUUUGAUCAUGGCUCAGAUUGAACGCUGGCGGCAGGCUUAACACAUGCAAGUCGAGCGGAGACUUCGGUCUUAGCGGCGAACGGGUGAGGAAUGCCUGGGAAUCUGCCUGUUAGUGGGGGAUAACGUUCCGAAAGGAACGCUAAUACCGCAUACGUCCUACGGGAGAAAGCAGGGGACCUUCGGGCCUUGCGCUAACAGAUGAGCCCAGGUCGGAUUAGCUAGUUGGUGGGGUAAAGGCUCACCAAGGCGACGAUCCGUAGCUGGUCUGAGAGGAUGAUCAGCCACACUGGAACUGAGACACGGUCCAGACUCCUACGGGAGGCAGCAGUGGGGAAUAUUGGACAAUGGGCGAAAGCCUGAUCCAGCCAUGCCGCGUGUGUGAAGAAGGCCUUCGGGUUGUAAAGCACUUUAAGCGGGGAGGAAGUACUUGGGGCUAAUACCCCUGAGUGUUGACGUUACCCGCAGAAUAAGCACCGGCUAACUCUGUG
rnacentral:rRNA from 1 species